rnacentral:rRNA from 1 species
UACAGAGGGUGCGAGCGUUAAUCGGAAUUACUGGGCGUAAAGCGUGCGUAGACGGUAGCGUAAGUCAGAUGUGAAAGCCCCGGGCUCAACCUGGGAACUGCAUUUGUGACUGCAUUGCUGGAGUGCGGCAGAGGGGGAUGGAAUUCCGCGUGUAGCAGUGAAAUGCGUAGAUAUGCGGAGGAACACCGAUGGCGAAGGCAAUCCCCUGGGCCUGCACUGACGCUCAUGCACGAAAGCGUGGGGAGCAAACAGG